GAAAUGCGAUAAGUAAUGUGAAUUGCAGAAUUCAGUGAAUCAUCGAAUCUUUGAACGCACAUUGCGCCCGGCAGCAUUCUGCCGGGCAUGCCUGUUCGAGCGUCAUUUCAACCCUCGAGCUCCCUUUGGGGAGCACGGUGUUGGGGACCGGCAGCACACUGAGCCGACCCCGAAAUGGAGUGGCGGCCCGUCCGCGGCGACCUCUGCGUAGUAAUUUAUCACCUCGCACCGGGAACCCGACGUGGCCACGCCUCAAAACAACCCAAUUUCUGAACGUUGACCUCGGAUCAGGUAGGAAUACCCGCUGAACUUAA
rnacentral:misc_RNA from 1 species